GAAUUCUCUAAAAGAGAUCUUUUUCUGCUCUUUGAAGAAAGAAGGGUCUUUGCUUGAUUUUGGAGAUGUCUCUGCUCUCAGAUCU
rfam:Glycine soja cultivar W05 scaffold4237_65, whole genome shotgun sequence.